UUGAAAUCCUUAGGAUGUUGCUGGCCUUUCGGGGCAUGUGCACUCCGCCUUUUCAAUUCACCUGUGAACUCAUUGUAGGCCGGACUCUUGUAGUCUGUGUCUAUGUUUUUAUACACCCUAAAGUUUAAUAGAAUGUCAUUCAGACCUUUACCGGUCGAAAUAAAUUAAUA
rnacentral:misc_RNA from 1 species